GAACAGACCUAUGAGCCUUAUUGUGAAUUGUCUUCCUCAAAUUCCCGGCUAAGGUGUCUUCCCAGUCAAGAUAAAACGAGCUGCCUUUGCCAGUGGUCACCAGCAGAUGGCAAUCCAGGAACAGCUUAGACUGGAACGGUGAGCUGCUGCGCUGUAGAUCCCGACUCUGCCUCUGACGCCCCAUGCCCAGGGCAAGCCUGGAGCGCGCUCGGCAUUGGUCACGCUUGCACUUUGGGACAAGUUAAGUGCAAGUAAAUCACUCUGAAAGAGCCCAGCAGUCCUCGGAAAGUUCCCUGGCGGCUCCGGCUUUGGAUCUCUGUUUAGGGAAAGACUAAAUAGAUUUUUGGUCCUGCCCCAGCUCUUCUCCCACCCCAACUCCACUCCCUCCAGCAUUACUGAAACAUUUGGCAAACAAAACCCGGAGCGAGCGAUUGCUCUAAAUGGCUUUGAACAGAAGCGUUUCUACCUAAGAGCUAAGCACAGAGGAGAAGAACAAACUGUCUCGAAAAAAAAUUCGUGCUGGUGGGACAGAAGAGGCUGUCAGGAGGGGGGAACAAAGUUUUCUACGUGACAAAAUAAACUAGGUAGCCAGCUAGACAGAGCCAA